CCUACGGGAGGCAGCAGUAGGGAAUAUUGCUCAAUGGGGGAAACCCUGAAGCAGCAACGCCGCGUGGAGGAUGAAGGUUUUCGGAUUGUAAACUCCUUUUGUUAGAGAAGAUAAUGACGGUAUCUAACGAAUAAGCACCGUCUAACUCCGUGCCAGCAGCCGCGGUAAUACGGAGGGUGCCAGCGUUACUCGGAAUCACUGGGCGUAAAGAGCGCGUAGGCGGGAUAGCAAGUCAGAUGUGAAAUCCUAUGGCUUAACCAUAGAAGUGCAUUUGAUACUGUUAUUCUAGAGUACGGGAGAGGUAGGUGGAAUUCGUGGUGUAGGGGUAAAAUCCGUAGAGAUCAAGAGGAAUACUCAGUGCGAAGGCGACCUACUAGAACAUAACUGACGCUGAUGCGCGAAAGCGUGGGGAGCAAACAGGAUUAGAUACCCCUGUAGUC
rnacentral:rRNA from 1 species